rnacentral:rRNA from 1 species
GACGAACGCUGGCGGCGUGCCUAAUACAUGCAAGUCGAACGCACUCUCGUUUAGAUUGAAGGAGUUUGCUCCUGAUUGAUCAACAUUUGAGUGAGUGGCGGACGGGUGAGUAACACGUGGGUAACCUGCCCUAAAGUGGGGGAUAACAUUUGGAAACAGAUGCUAAUACCGCAUAAAACCUAACACCGCAUGGUGUAGGGUUGAAAGAUGGUUUCGGCUAUCACUUUAGGAUGGACCCGCGGUGCAUUAGUUAGUUGGUGAGGUAAAGGCUCACCAAGACCGUGAUGCAUAGCCGACCUGAGAGGGUAAUCGGCCACACUGGGACUGAGGCACGGCCCAGACUCCUACGGGAGGCAGCAGUAGGGAAUCUUCCACAAUGGACGAAAGUCUGAUGGAGCAACGCCGCGUGAGUGAAGAAGGUUUUCGGAUCGUAAAACUCUGUUGUUGGAGAAGAAUGUAUCUGAUAGUAACUGAUCAGGUAGUGACGGUAUCCAACCAGAAAGCCACGGCUAACUACGUG